CCCUUAGAUGUUCUGGGCCGCACGCGCGCUACACUGAUGCAUUCAACGAGUCUAAAACCUGCUCUGAUAGGGGUGGGUAAUCUUUUGAAUGUGCAUCGUGAUUGGGAUAGAUGAUUGCAAUUUUUCAUCUUCAACGAGGAAUGCCUAGUAAACGCAAGUCAUCAGCCUGCAUUGAUUACGUCCCUGCCCUUUGUACACACCGCCCGUCGCUCCUACCGAUUGGAUGAUCCGGUGAGCUAUUCGGACUUUCGCAUUGUCGAUUUUCGGCUUUACGAGGGAAAGUCUCGCGAACCUUAUCAUCUAGAGGAAGGAGAAGUCGUAACA
rnacentral:rRNA from 1 species